rnacentral:rRNA from 1 species
AUGCCCACCUUCGCCCUCACCGUCCUUCGGGCUCCGAAGAAGUUCUUCAAAGACAUCGACAAGGCCAGGAGGCGCUUCCUUUGGGCGCACGACGGCGAGAUCUCUGGCGGAAAAUGCAAGGUAGGCUGGAAGAUGGUCACUAGACCAGAGCGCGCUGGUGGCCUGGGCAUACACGACCUGUCUGCGUUCGCCCGUGCACUGCGGCUGCGCUGGCUGUGGCUCGCCUGGACGCAGCCAAACCGGCCCUGGGUCGGC